rnacentral:rRNA from 1 species
CCUACGGGUGGCAGCAGUGAGGAAUAUUGGUCAAUGGGCGCGAGCCUGAACCAGCCAAGUAGCGUGAAGGAUGACUGCCCUACGGGUUGUAAACUUCUUUUAUAAAGGAAUAAAGUGAGCCACGUGUGCCUUUUUGUAUGUACUUUAUGAAUAAGGCUCGGUUAACUCCGUGCCAGCAGCCGCGGUAAUACGGAGGAUCCGAGCGUUAUCCGGAUUUAUUUGGUUUAAAGGGAGCGUAGAUGGGUUGUUAAGUCAGGUGGGAAAGUUUGCGGCUCAACCGUAAAAUUGCAAUUGAUACUGGCAUUCUUGAGUACAGGUGAGGUAGGCGGAAUUCGUGGUGUAGCGGUGAAAUGCUUAGAUAUCACGAAGAACUCCGAUUGCGAAGGCAGCUCACUAAACUGCCACUGACAUUGAUGCUCGAAAGUGUGGGUAUCAAACAGGAUUAGAUACCCCAGUAGUC